rnacentral:rRNA from 1 species
AUAUCAAUAAGCGGAGGAAAAGAAACCAACCGGGAUUGCCUCAGUAACGGCGAGUGAAGCGGCAAGAGCUCAAAUUUGAAAGCUGGCCCCUCCGGGGUCCGCGUUGUAAUUUGCAGAGGAUGCUUCGGGUACGGCCCCCGUCUAAGUGCCCUGGAACGGGCCGUCGGAGAGGGUGAGAAUCCCGUCUGGGACGGGGUGUCCGUGUCCGUGUGAAGCUCCUUCGACGAGUCGAGUUGUUUGGGAAUGCAGCUCUAAAUGGGUGGUAAAUUUCAUCUAAAGCUAAAUACUGGCCGGAGACCGAUAGCGCACAAGUAGAGUGAUCGAAAGAUGAAAAGCACUUUGAAAAGAGAGUUAAACAGCACGUGAAAUUGUUGAAAGGGAAGCGCUUGCAACCAGACUCGCCCGCGGGGUUCAGCCGGCAUUCGUGCCGGUGUACUUCCCCGUGGGCGGGCCAGCGUCGGUUCGGGCGGCCGGUCAAAGGCCCCUGGAAUGUGUCGCCCUCCGGGGCGUCUUAUAGCCAGGGGUGCAAUGCGGCCAGCCUGGACCGAGGAACGCGCUUCGGCACGGACGCUGGCGUAAUGGUUGUAAGCGACCCGUCUUGAAACACGGACCAAGGAGUCUAACAUCUACGCGAGUGUUUGGGUGUCAAACCCAUGCGCGCAGUGAAAGCGAACGGAGGUGGGAACCCCGCAAGGGGCGCACCAUCGACCGAUCCUGAUGUCUUCGGAUGGAUUUGAGUACGAGCGUAGCUGUGGGGACCCGAAAGAUGGUGAACUAUGCCUGAAUAGGGCGAAGCCAGAGGAAACUCUGGUGGAGGCUCGCAGCGGUUCUGACGUGCAAAUCGAUCGUCAAAUUUGGGUAUAGGGGCGAAAGACUAAUCGAACCAUCUGGUAGCUGGUUCUGCGAGCCUCCCUCCCCCGGGAGAAA